rnacentral:lncRNA from 1 species
UAUCAUCACAGACUAGAAGAAAGAAUUCCAACUAUCACUCAUAAAACAUAAAAUAUGUUGAUUUCAAGUAAUUUAAAUAUCUUAUUUAAAGAAAUUUUAUGAAUAUCUUUAAAAUAAAAAUGCUAUAAUUGCCAAGCCAAGACAGAAAAGAAUCAACCAACAAAUCAAUUUCAAGACAUAUAAUUUGUUAAAAGUGAAGCUCAAUACAUAUUAUCUAGAAUUAUAUUUGAUAUUUCACUAUACUAGAUCUAAUAGCAACAUUGUCGUAAUAUGUGAAGUCUUGCUUGAGAAUGAGUACCUAGUUAUGAAAGGUAGAAUAGAAAUUACAAGAAUAAAAUCCUAAUUCUAAUUGAAUACUAAUUAAACUCUAAUUAGACCAUAAUAAUGUUAACCAAGCUUUAAUCAAAUUCAAAGAAACUUCAAAAGAAUUACAAAGAAAUAAUAAGAAAUCUUAAAGAAAUAUUAAAAUGAUCACAAAUAUAUCUCAAAUACAUCUCAAUUCAAUCUUAGUUUAAUCCUAGUUAAAAUUUUAUUGGACUUCAUUCAAACUUUGGGCCAAAAACUAACUAUAUCUUAAAUCUUAAAUAACCUCAAAUAAAAUCCUAAAUCCUAAACUAAAUCCUAACCAAAUCUUAAUUCUAAAUCAAACCUUAAUCAAAUCCUAAAUUCUAAAUCAAAUCCUAAUUCUAAAUCAAAUCCUAACCAAAUUCUAAUCCUAAAUCAAAUCCUAACUAAUCCUAAAUCAAAUCCUAAAUCAAAUCCUAACCAAAUCCUAAUCCUAAAUUAAAUCCUAACUAAAUCCUAAAUCAAAUCCUAACCAAAUCUUAAUCCUAAAUCAAAUCCUAACCAAAUCCUAAACCCUAAACUAAACUCUAAUCCUAAAUCAAACCCUAACCAAAUCCUAACCCUAAAUCAAAUCCUAACCAACCCUAAAUCAAAUCCUAAACUCUAAAUCAAAUCCUAAUCAAAUUCUAAUCAAAUCCUAAUCCUAAAUCAAAUCCCAAUCAAUUCCUAAAUCCUAAAUCAAA